rnacentral:rRNA from 1 species
GAUGAACGCUGGCGGCGUGCCUAAUACAUGCAAGUCGAGCGAACAGACGAGGAGCUUGCUCCUCUGACGUUAGCGGCGGACGGGUGAGUAACACGUGGAUAACCUACCUAUAAGACUGGGAUAACUUCGGGAAACCGGAGCUAAUACCGGAUAAUAUAUUGAACCGCAUGGUUCAAUAGUGAAAGACGGUUUUGCUGUCACUUAUAGAUGGAUCCGCGCCGCAUUAGCUAGUUGGUAAGGUAACGGCUUACCAAGGCGAUGAUGCGUAGCCGACCUGAGAGGGGGAUCGGCCACACUGGAACUGAGACACGGUCCAGACUCCUACGGGAGGCAGCAGUAGGGAAUCUUCCGAAAUGGGCGAAAGCCUGACGGAGCAACGCCGCGUGAGUGAUGAAGGUCUGCGGAUCGUAAAACUCUGUAUUAGGGAAGAACAAAUGUGUAAGUAACUAUGCACGUCUUGACGGUACCUAAUCAGAAAGCCACGGCUAACUACGUG